GAUGAACGCUAGCGGCAGGCCUAACACAUGCAAGUCGAGGGGUAGAACACUUCGGUGUUUGAGACCGGCGCACGGGUGCGUAACGCGUAUGCAAUCUACCUUGUACAGGGGAAUAGCCCAGAGAAAUUUGGAUUAAUGCCCCAUAGUAUAUAACCUUCGCAUGUUGGCUAUAUUAAAGUUCCAACGGUACAAGAUGAGCAUGCGUACCAUUAGUUAGUUGGUAAGGUAACGGCUUACCAAGACGAUGAUGGGUAGGGGUCCUGAGAGGGAGAUCCCCCACACUGGUACUGAGACACGGACCAGACUCCUACGGGAGGCAGCAGUGAGGAAUAUUGGUCAAUGGGCGCAAGCCUGAACCAGCCAUGCCGCGUGCAGGAAGACGGUCCUAUGGAUUGUAAACUGCUUUUAUACAGGAAGAAACAACUCUACGUGUAGAGUCUUGACGGUACUGUAGGAAUAAGGAUCGGCUAACUCCGUGCCAGCCGCCGCUGUAAUAC
rnacentral:rRNA from 1 species